CCGCUGGCAGGCGGCGAGCGGGCUGCGACCCGGCGGGCGGGAGGCGCCAGCCGGCGCGGUCAGAAAGCUGCCGGUGCCCCGCGUUACUGCCGGCGCGCAGACAGUUAACGCCUCACUCCGCUGGGAAGAGCGUCAGAUGGGGGAUUUACACCCCCGAGCAGUUGAAACAUCAGGUGAAUAAAUGAACUGUCCUGCUGUAUCAGAUACUUUUGAGGGGAAGAAAGGAUCUUUAAAAACACAGUGCUGCCUGAUUGGAAUCACGGUGUGGAUUCUGAGGACAGAACUUGCUGUGACAGCUCCUCAAACCACUGGUGGCAUUUCCUCACUGUUCAAGGAUUCCCAAGCAACGUCACUUGGUGAGUAGCAGAGGUGCUCAAGAGCUCGGGGGCUCGUCGCAGGUGAGUAGCACCGUUAGGGGCACCUCACGCUCCCGCUGCACCCCCGGCAAACCUGUGGCAGGACAGCGGCUGGGAAACGGUACGCGUUGCCCAGGGAGAGCCAGCAGCCGAACGCCACCUGCACCGCCUCUGCCUUCAGUUAUCGGUAAGCAACUCUUAGCUUGUCCGCUCCUAUAUUAUGUAUGUCAUAUGUUAAGCACUAUAUUAUGUCCAUCCCAGCCUUGUUACACUCUAGUUUUAAAAUAGUUUUUUUCAUUAACACAGUGGUCUCUUUUAGCUGGCCACAAGACUUUACUUUUAGUCACUUUUCUCACAGCAUCAGCUGCUGCAGCGGGUCCCCCUAAGUGCUGUACUUUUCUGCAUAGUUACUAAUGAGGUACUCAUCCACGCAGCAUACCUGAACUGGUAUCCUAAAGUAUCAGCUGAAAGUUUCACGGUAUCUCAAAACUGAUUUUAAAGAAUUCUGUAUUAAUGUAUCACCAGACUUUAAAUUGUGCUAUUUGAAAUUGUUUUUUUUUAAUAGACAAACUAACAGCAUGAGAGUAACACAGUAUAAGUUGAGUAACAACUCUUAAGUUAUCCUGGGAUAAGCAACAAACAAACAGCAACAAACUGUAACUUGGUUCAACAAAAACCUUAAUGCAAGUAAUUUCCAAGUGGAAAUAAUGACUGGGUUUAGUAAAAUCCAGCUCAUU